rnacentral:sRNA from 1 species
GCGGCAGCCUCUGGUGACGUGCUGUCCACCAGGCCUUGGAGACAGGCUAGCCUGGCCACAGAAUUAAACGUGUUGCCACACCUGCCAGUUUCUGAACUCUGUCCUUGGCUUCCUGCACCCUGCGUCACCACCUCCGGGGCCCCCCAGACCCUAACUAAAGCAGGGACCCUGUAUCUGGCACCAGACAGCACCUGGCUGCUCAGGACGAAUGAAUGAUGGCGUGAUCCUCCACAGCCUGACUUACAGGCACCGUGUGUGGCCGCACUGCUCCCUCUGGCCCAACCAUGCCUCUGCCCAGCCACCUGCUGCCCGCCUUGGUCCUGUUCCUGGGAGCCCUGGCCAGGCCGUGUGCAACUUCGUGUGUGACUGCAGGGACUGCUCAGAUGAGGCCCAGUGUGGUGAGCCAAGGCCAGAUGGGCGGGCAGGGCCAGUGCGAGCAGGUCUGGCGCACACCUGACCACCCACUCUCCCAGGUUACCACGGGGCCUCGCCCACCCUAGGCGCCCCCUUCGCCUGUGACUUCGAGCAGGACCCCUGCGGCUGGCAGGACAUUAGUACCUCAGGCUACAGCUGGCUCCGAGACAGGGCAGGGGCCGCACUGGAGGGUCCUGGGCCUCACUCAGACCACACACUGGGCACCGACUUGGGUGAGGCCAGGGCAAGUCUCUGUGCGCCCCUGUCCCAAUACCCUCCUUGCUCCCUGCCCCGUCUCCUGACCUCUCACCUGCGCCAGGCUGGUACAUGGCCGUUGGAACCCACCGAGGGAAAGAGGCAUCCACCGCAGCCCUGCGCUCGCCAACCCUGCGAGAGGCAGCCUCCUCCUGCAAGCUGAGGCUCUGGUACCACGCGGCCUCUGGAGGUGCACCCUGGACCCCCAAGGCUCAUGGGGGGUGCCCAAGGGGAGGGCGGGUGGGCAGCUGGGGACAAGCAGGGCCGCAGCUGCCCUGGGACCCCUGACAUUGCAGAUGUGGCUGAACUGCGGGUGGAGCUGAUCCAUGGCGCAGAGACCCUGACCCUGUGGCAGAGCACAGGGCCCUGGGGCCCUGGCUGGCAGGAGUUGGCAGUGACCACAGGCCGCAUCCGGGGUGACUUCCGAGUGACCUUCUCUGCCACCCGAAAUGCCACCCACAGGGGCGCUGUGGCUCUAGAUGACCUAGAGUUCUGGGACUGUGGUCUGCCCACCCCCCAGGCCAACUGUCCCCUGGGACACCACCACUGCCAGAACAAGGUCUGCGUGGAGCCCCAGCAGCUGUGCGACGGGGAAGACAACUGCGGGGACCUGUCUGAUGAGAACCCACUCACCUGUGGCCGCCACAUAGCCACCGACUUUGAGACAGGCCUGGGCCCAUGGAACCGCUCGGAAGGCUGGUCCUGGAACCACCGCGCUGGUGGUCCUGAGCGCCCCUCCUGGCCACGCCGUGACCACAGCCGGAACAGUGCACAGGCUGGUCUUCUAUCAGUACCUGCGUGGGUCUGAGGCUGGCUGCCUCCAGCUGUUCCUGCAGACUCUGGGGCCCAGCACCCCCCGGGCCCCCGUCCUGCUGCGGAGGCGCCGAGGGGAGCUGGGGACCGCCUGGGUCCGAGACCGUGUUGACAUCCAGAGCGCCCACCCCUUCCAGAUCCUCCUGGCCGGGCAGACAGGCCCGGGGGGCGUCGUGGGUCUGGACGACCUCAUCCUGUCUGACCACUGCAGACCAGUCUCGGAGGUGUCCACCCUGCAGCCACUGCCUCCUGGGCCCCGGGCCCCAGCCCCCCAGCCCCUGCCGCCCAGCUCGCGGCUCCAGGAUUCCUGCAAGCAGGGGCAUCUUGCCUGCGGGGACCUGUGUGUGCCCCCGGAACAACUGUGUGACUUCGAGGAGCAGUGCGCAGGGGGCGAGGACGAGCAGGCCUGCGGCACCACAGACUUUGAGUCCCCCGAGGCCGGGGGCUGGGAGGACGCCAGCGUGGGGCGGCUGCAGUGGCGGCGUGUCUCAGCCCAGGAGAGCCAGGGGUCCAGUGCAGCUGCUGCUGGGCACUUCCUGUCUCUGCAGCGGGCCUGGGGGCAGCUAGGCGCUGAGGCCCGGGUCCUCACACCCCUCCUUGGCCCUUCUGGCCCCAGCUGUGAGCUCCACCUGGCUUAUUAUUUACAGAGUCAGCCCCGAGCUGGAGUUUGUCGGUUUGGUGGACUUGGAUGGCCCUGACCAGCAGGGAGCUGGGGUGGACAACGUGACCCUGAGGGACUGUAGCCCCACAGUGACCACCGAGAGAGACAGAGGUUCCUGCUGCCCAUCCUCACUCCCACCUGGGUGCUCCCCUUACACUCCUCCAGGGACCCCGGAGCUUCCACCUUCUCAGGGCUCUGGAGGGGGAGGGGAGAAGGUGUGUGACGCCACCUGGCCCCACCCCCAGAGGUCUCCUGUAACUUUGAGCGGGACACAUGCAGCUGGUACCCAGGCCACCUCUCAGACACACACUGGCGCUGGGUGGAGAGCCGCGGCCCUGACCACGACCACACCACAGGCCAAGGUAGGAUGGGCGCUCAGACCGGGGGUGGCUUUCAGACGGGAGUGGGGCAUCUCUGCAGCACAGCCCCAUGCCCCCUGCAGGCCACUUUGUGCUCCUGGACCCCACAGACCCCCUGGCCUGGGGCCACAGUGCCCACCUGCUCUCUAGGCCCCAGGUGCCAGCAGCACCCAUGGAGUGUCUCAGCUUCUGGUACCACCUCCAUGGGCCCCAGAUUGGGACUCUGCGCCUAGCCAUGAGACGGGAAGGGGAGGAGACACACCUGUGGUCGCGGUCAGGCACCCAGGGCAACCGCUGGCACGAGGCCUGGGCCACCCUUUCCCACCAGCCUGGCUCCCAUGCCCAGUACCAGGUGAGGCCUGGCACCCGGGUGGGAGGACAGGGCAGGGCCCCUGGCCAGCUGACACCCUCCGCCCCCAGCUGCUGUUCGAGGGCCUCCGGGACGGAUACCACGGCACCAUGGCGCUGGACGAUGUGGCCGUGCGGCCAGGCCCCUGCUGGGCCCCUAAUUACUGCUCCUUUGAGGACUCAGACUGCGGCUUCUCCCCUGGAGGCCAAGGUCUCUGGAGGCGGCAGGCCAAUGCCUCGGGCCAUGCUGCCUGGGGCCCCCCAACAGACCAUACCACUGAGACAGCCCAAGGUAUGGGGGCCUGGCAGGGGCAGGGAUUGAGGGGCUGGCCAGGGGCUGGCAGGCUGAUGCUGGCACCUCCAGGGCACUACAUGGUGGUGGACACAAGCCCAGACGCACUACCCCGGGGCCAGACGGCCUCCCUGACCUCCAAGGAGCACAGGCCCCUGGCCCAGCCUGCUUGUCUGACCUUCUGGUACCACGGGAGCCUCCGCAGCCCAGGCACCCUGCGGGUCUACCUGGAGGAGCGCGGGAAGCACCAGGUGCUCAGCCUCAGUGCCCACGGCGGGCUUGCCUGGCGCCUGGGCAGCGUGGACGUGCAGGCCGAGCGAGCCUGGAGGGUUCCUGUGAUUUUGAGUCUGGCCUGUGUGGCUGGAGCCACCUGGCCUGGCCCGGCCUGGGCGGAUACAGCUGGGACUGGGGCGGGGGAGCCACCCCCUCUCGUUACCCCCAGCCCCCUGUGGACCACACCCUGGGCACAGAGGCAGGCCACUUUGCCUUCUUUGAAACGGGCGUGCUGGGCCCCGGGGGCCGGGCCGCCUGGCUGCGCAGCGAGCCUCUGCCGGCCACCCCAGCCUCCUGCCUCCGCUUCUGGUACCACAUGGGUUUUCCUGAGCACUUCUACAAGGGGGAGCUGAAGGUGCUGCUGCACAGUGCUCAGGGCCAGCUGGCUGUGUGGGGCGCAGGCGGGCAUCGGCGGCACCAGUGGCUGGAGGCCCAGGUGGAGGUAGCCAGUGCCAAGGAGUUCCAGGUGAGGCUGGCUGUGGGCAAGGAGCCUCCUCCUCCUCCACCCAGGGCCCACACAAACUCCUUUCCUUCCCCAUCAGAUCGUGUUUGAAGCCACUCUGGGCGGCCAGCCAGCCCUGGGGCCCAUUGCCCUGGAUGACGUGGAGUAUCUGGCCGGGCAGCAUUGCCAGCAGCCUGCCCCCAGCCCGGGGAACACAGCCGCACCCGGGUCUCUGCCAGCUGUGGUUGGCAGUGCCCUCCUAUUGCUCAUGCUCCUGGUGCUGCUGGGACUUGGGGGACGGCGCUGGCUGCAGAAGAGGGGGAGCUGCCCCUUCCAGAGCAACACAGAGGCCACAGCCCCCGGCUUUGACAACAUCCUUUUCAAUGCGGAUGGUGUCACCCUCCCGGCAUCUGUCACCAGCGAUCCGUAGACCACCCCAGACAAGGCCCCGCUUCCUCAUCCAGCACUUGGUCAGACCCUAACCAGGGACCGGACACCUGCCCUGCCCAGGCUGGGACAGGCUGCAGGUCUCAGGACAUGCUGAGGCCUGGGCAUUCCCUGCCCUGUGCUGACUCUGUUGUUCUGUGAAUAAACACCCUGGCCCAUGAGGGCAGCCCAA